CAAAAAGGGUGCCAAACUCCAUGUCAAGUCAAAGAGCCACGAACUGAUCGUCCUCGAAGCCAAGGCUUUCGCCUACGCACCGAAAAAACCAUACGAGGAGUGCACCAAGCCUAAACACAGCCACCCGGUCUACUAUUACAAGUCCCCACCUCCGCCUGUGAAGCCUCCUACUCACCCCUACUACUACGCAUCUCCGCCACCGCCCAAGAAGACCCCCCCACCAACUUACUACUACAACUCUCCACCUCCGCCGGUGAAGCCUCCCACUCACCCCUACUACUACGCAUCUCCACCACCCCCAAGAAAACCCCCCCACCAACUUACUACUACGCAUCUCCACCACCUCCCAAGAAGACCCCCCCACCAACGUACUACUACGCAUCUCCACCACCCCCCAAGAAGACCCCCCCACCAACUACUACUACAAGUCUCCUCCUCCGCCGGUGAAGCCUCCCACUCACCCAUACUACUACGAAUCCCCCCCACCCCCGAAGAAGACUCCCCCACCAACUUACCACUACUCGUCUCCUCCUCCGCCGGUGAAGCCUCCGACUCACCCGUAUUACUACGCAUCUCCACCACCCCCGAAGAAAACUCCCCCACCGACCUACUACUACUCUUCCCCGCCACCGCCGGUGAAGUCCCCGCCACCUCCAUACUACUGAUCACAGUCAAAUCCGCGGUAAUCGUCCAUCAAGCGCGCCAUCGUAAGUCCUUUUAAAUAUCCCUCCCCAUUGCCUCCCGUUCUAAAUCUAUCGUCAUUCCUACUCUAUUAUUUGUCAUAAAAAAACAUGUUUUCUCAGGGCAACUCGGAGAAGUCGGUUGGCUGUAUGGUGAUGGCCUCUCUUUUCAAAUGGUUCGUCCGUUUCAACUGAGGCGGAACGUCAGAGACAUGAAAUGGUUCCAGCCCGACGCUGUCGCGGUGACCAUCUUCUAUUUGGCGCUCCUCGCUUUCCAGAUGAAAGCCGGAAAAUUGGUGAAUAAAUCUCUUCUAGAGAGGAUAAAGUAGGAGUUAUGACGUUGCAGCAUCUUACGCUAAUAAGCUUGCCACUGCCCCAUUUGUUCAUUCGUGUAAUGUCUUUCCAUCCACCUGUUUCGCUCAUCUGUUGUUUGUUCUCACUCAGUCAUAAUAAAUAAAUUCGAUCAUCAUGAUUUCUGAGGCUAAUGUCGGCCCAAAAUGCAACCAA
rnacentral:lncRNA from 1 species